CCCUUAGGCAUCACAGUACUUUUUAAGUGAAUCAUAAGAGAUCACUUAUAAUAUUUUUGUUGUUUUAACAGUAUAGAGUUACACGAACAAGAGUUAGAAGGCAGAAAGAGCAUCAAAUUAUGGAGGAUUUUUAGGUUUUUUUAAGGAGACAGACAGGGUGGGCAUGGUGACACACAGCACAUCUAUAAUCCUAGCACUCAGGAGGUUGAGGCAGGAGGAUCACUGUGAGUUUGAGGCCAGCCUGGGCUACAUAGCUCAAGGCCAGCCCAAACUACACAGUGAGACCCGGUCUCAACAAAAAAAAAAAAAAAAGGAAAUAGACAAAGGCAAGGCAAGUCGGAGGGCCAGACUGGAACUAUCCAUAGUGGAGUGGGUGAGGUCUGUCUGUAGGCAAACAAGAGAACAGGGGUCACCAGCAUGAGACCAGUGUUUUCUGAGGGCCCAGGUCACAGGGACAGUUCCCAAAGCUGGGGAGAUCGACCAAGACCAAGGAUGAGUAAGAGAAUGGCGGCCACUAGCAGGAGACUAGUGCUCCUGAGGGACCAUGUCCAGGGGACAGUUCCCCAGGCCAGGAAGGAUCACGAAUGGUCUGAAGGAGAUCUAGAAGCUUACCUGACUUUUGGGAGAUGACCGUCUGGACCAGAACGGAUGGCGGGUGUGUGGAAGGACAGCAAUGGCAAAGGCACCCCGUGCCUUGUUAUGGCUUGUGUCUAGAUGUCCUCCCAAAGCCUCAUUCAGUCAUAGGUAGGGGGGCUUUUCAGAGGUGGCUGGAGGGUCGGGGAUUUAGCUCAGUGGUUCCGGCGCCUGCCUUGCAAGCGCAAGGUCUCAAGUUCGAUCCCUGGUACCAAAAACAACAAAAAAAGCAGAGGUGGCUGGAUCUAGAGUGUGUGAUGCUGGGAUUAAGGGUGUGUGAUUACUAAAUCAGUCCACUGAUUGCUUUGGCAUAGUUCUGUGUGUGGAUAGUGGGAAGGCCCAGCCUCGGUGUGAGUGCUACCCGCCCUAAGGGUGUGUAGCCUGGAUACAAGGGACAGAAAGAGGGCUGCUGUGGCCACUUGCUUCUUCCUUCCUUACUACUUCCUCGCUGCUUUGCUCCCUUCCUGCCUUCUGUCCACGAUGAACCAUUUCUCCUCUGCAAUGCCCUUCUGCCACGCCACCUUACGUCGGAGCCAGCCAACUAUGAACUGAAACCUGUACAAACUGAGCUAUAUAAGCCUUUCCUCCCUUAACUUAUGAGUGUUGGGUAUUUUGUCUCAGCAACAAGAAAAGUAACUAAGACAUGCCUCGCUUGUCAUCUGUGCUGCUGCCCUCCAUGUCCUUUCUCCUUUUUCUGGUAACAGGGUGUUAGUGAAAAUGGUCUAGUGAGAAGAGGUGGUAUGUAGGCCAGGAUGAACAGAGAGGGACAGGAACAAAGUAUAAAAAGGAACAUAAGGAACCUUUUUCAUUUUCCAGAGCAGUGAAGGAGGUUAUUGAGGUGGGUUAGGCACUCCUGAGGGGUCCGGUUUCAGGGAGGACAGAGGAGAGCCCAAGUCUGGGAGAAGAUGGGGGAAGCACCUUCCGCUUCUGUGGCUGUACCACUCGGCUCUUCUCCAGGAGCAUGGUCUGUGGGGUGGAUGGCACUGUCUGCUGCCAGCCCUCAGCCCUGCACCCCACCCCAGCCCACAAGCCGAGGACUCAGGUGAGACUCAGACUCAACCCACCUGCCACCCAGGAAGUCUGUUAAUACCACAGACUGGUCCCAACUUGGGUACCAUAGGACAACAGUGAUCAGACAGGGCCACCCUCUCACAUGUCCUGUGAUGAAAGCUCUUUGAACCUCCACCCAAGUGGUGCUUCCCAGCAGGCUGCCAGGCCAGGACAGCAAAGGGACUGAGCGGCCCCCAGAGAGUUUUCCAGGAGCCUGGCUGCCACCCCAGCUCUACCCACAAACAUGCGCCUCACACCCUGUCCUACUGUCUGUUCUAACAGAAUGUGUGCAAGGAGGGGAGGGCUGCGGUGAGUUUGGGAUGGGGUCAGCGGGCCAUGUGUUCGUCACGUGGGGAAACUGCAGAGGGCUGCUGAGUAUCUAUUUAUUUUCAGCUUGUGCUUGUAAGACCUGGCUAAUGAACAGCUAAAUGAUGUUCUCUGCAACAGGCCAUGGCACAGACAAGCAGGGCUGGUGGCGCAGGGACAGGAGACUGCAGGGACCAAGUGAGUGGUGUGUGGAGCAAGGGCUAGGGGAGUGAUGACCAUCUGAGACACAUCCCAGGUCCCAGUUGGAAGUGUGGGGGAGAAGCAGCCCCGAGGGCCCUGUGCAUCCUCCAGAGUCUCACCUGGAGUUGCACAGCCAUCACUUGGCUGGUGGCGUUGAGGUCCAGUGACACCACCAUGGCCAGCCGCGUGCCACUGCGGCUGUGGCCCAUGCACAGGAAGCCAGAGUCCCAGAGGAUGGGGAAGGUGGCCUGGGUCUUCUCCACUGGGGGAACGGGGUGGGUGUCACUCAUAGAUCACACGGGACCUCCUUCCCCUCUAGCCCCAGUUCUGGCCCGGCCCAGCC
rnacentral:lncRNA from 1 species